AAUCCGGUCAGUUCAUCACAACAGAUGCCGACCACCGACCACAUCUCCUCGCCGCCGCAGCCGGCGUCGCCGGGCGUUGGCGCCGUCGCCCUCUCGUCCGCCGUCGGCGAGCUACUCCGCUUCGUCCUCUCCUCCCACGUCGCCGCCCCGGACCCGGCCCUCCCUCUGUCCCUCUCUUAUUGCUCCCGCCUCCUCGAAGACGACCUGUGCGAUAAGCUGGCCACGGAGCUUGCGGGGUGCGCCGAGGAGGGGCGGAUCCCGAGACCCCCAGUGGUAGCGGGGGCGGUAGGAACUCCUGCCGAGGAGAAUGGUUCGCGUAAGAGGGAGGGGGAGUGGGAGGCGGUCCUGCGCGAGAAAGGCGGCGAGUUAAAGCGGAUUUAUGAUGUAGUGGAGUUUGUGCUACAUGUUCAAGAACCAUACUUCACUCAACUCAGUGCUGGAUCCAAGAACGUUGAAGGGAGGUUAGCAGCUGGUAAUUACAACAGGAUUACACAAGGUUCUUUGUUGCUCUUCAAUAAAUGCCUCUUGCUUGAGGUUGAGGCAGUUAGAAAGUACAGUUCGUUCUCUGAGAUGCUGCAAACAGAGACGAUCUCAAAUGUCCUUCCUGGUAUUUCAUCAAUUGAAGAAGGUGUCAAAGUUUAUAGAAAAUUCUACACAGAGGAAAAGGAGAACUCUUAUGGAGUCUUGGCAAUAUCUGUCUCAAAGCCGCAAAUCCAACCUUACAUAACCAUGACUGAGCUUCUUGCUGGAUUGGGUUACGAUGGAUUAGGUAGACUCCUUGGUCUGGCAAACACAUCAGGAACAGUUCCAGAUGGACUGCCUCCUCCAAAAUCCAUGUUGAUUUCAUCUUGUAUGAAACUACACAAGCCAACUGUGAAAAGUUGUUCUUUAACUGAUGCUGCAAGGGCAUUGGCCAAACAUGUUCACAGGAGUAGGGAUGGGUGGUGGGGCUGCCUCCAUGGAAGUGAUCCAAAGAAGAAUCAAAUUUCGUCUGAAGUCAUUGACCGUUUGUUACGUGAGGGCUGUUGGAUUAAUAUUCAUCUGACACAGCCCAAUAGGCCUGUUUUUGAAAUUCGUGUGUAUGAAGGUUAUGGUGCCCGAUGGUCUCAUGAUGGUUUGAAGAUAUAAGAAAACUAGCCCGCUGAGGGAAAGCUUUCCCAAAUGGCUCUUCGAGAUUGGACUCGAGAAGGGCAAGACACCUGUGACAGGGUUACAAAAUAUUAGUGCCUGGACCCUGCAGGGCGAGCCCGGAUAUGAAAAUAAAAAAUGUUCAUUGGAUUCUUGGAGCCUUACACACCAGAUGGCUUUCUCAACGGUUGGAAACACUAGAGCAUGAUCUGAGUGAUGCACACUAGUUCAAAUGUUCUGUAGAAUGGCGGACUGAUGUCUGAACUUAUGUUGUAUGUCUUGUUCAAGGUCGAAGGAAAUGUCUUCUGUAAGGCCUGAAGGUGGAAGUUACAAGUACUUCCAAUACUUUUUCCAAAAUCUGGUUAUAGGGGUUGUUGUUGUCUUAAAUAGGCAAUGUCAUUGUUGCGUGUUGUUGCGUCGUAUGCAACUGUGCCAUGGCGAACAUUGUAAUUUUGGUGCACGUCAGCUCUGAAAGCAUCAGACCAUCAGACAGAUUUCUAUGUUGUAA